UUUAAGUCUAAUGUGAAAGCCUUCGGCUCAACCGAAGAAGUGCAUUGGAAACUGGGAGACUUGAGUGCAGAAGAGGACAGUGGAACUCCAUGUGUAGCGGUGAAAUGCGUAGAUAUAUGGAAGAACACCAGUGGCGAAGGCGGCUGUCUGGUCUGCAACUGACGCUGAGGCUCGAAAGCAUGGGUAGCGAACAGGAUUAGAUACCCUGGUAGUCCAUGCCGUAAACGAUGAUUACUAAGUGUUGGAGGGUUUCCGCCCUUCAGUGCUGCAGCUAACGCAUUAAGUAAUCCGCCUGGGGAGUACGACCGCAAGGUUGAAACUCAAAAGAAUUGACGGGGGCCCGCACAAGCGGUGGAGCAUGUGGUUUAAUUCGAAGCUACGCGAAGAACCUUACCAGGUCUUGACAUCUUCUGACAGUCUAAGAGAUUAGAGGUUCCCUUCGGGGACAGAAUGACAGGUGGUGCAUGGUUGUCGUCAGCUCGUGUCGUGAGAUGUUGGGUUAAGUCCCGCAACGAGCGCAACCCUUAUUACUAGUUGCCAGCAUUAAGUUGGGCACUCUAGUGAGACUGCCGGUGACAAACCGGAGGAAGGUGGGGACGACGUCAAAUCAUCAUGCCCCUUAUGACCUGGGCUACACACGUGCUACAAUGGAUGGUACAACGAGUCGCGAAACCGCGAGGUUAAGCUAAUCUCUUAAAACCAUUCUCAGUUCGGACUGUAGGCUGCAACUCGCCUACACGAAGUCGGAAUCGCUAGUAAUCGCGGAUCAGCAUGCCGCGGUGAAUACGUUCCCGGGCCUUGUACACACCGCCCGUCACACCAUGAGAGUUUGUAACACCCAAAGCCGGUGGGGUAACCUUUAGGAGCUAGC
rnacentral:rRNA from 1 species